GAGCCCGGUCGUCUAGCGGCCAAAGGACAACCCGGCUUGGGUUAUGGGGCUCGGGCUAGGGUUCGAAUCCCGGCCGGGCUACC
rnacentral:tRNA from 1 species